GAUGAACGCUGGCGGCGUGCUUAACACAUGCAAGUCGAACGGUGAGGCCCAGCUUGUGUGGUGGACUCGUGUCGCAAACGUGAGUAAAACGCGAGUAUACCCCGCCCAAGACUUGGGUAAACCUUCAGAAAUCGGUCGAAAACAGCGUAUGGGCGCUCACCCCGCGGGGUGUGGGGGGAAGAUUUUUGGCGGUUGGGGAUGGACUCGCGGCUUAUCAGCUUGUUGGUGGGGUAGUGGCUUACCAAGGCUUUGACGGGUAGCCGGCCUGAGAGGGUGACCGGCCACAUUGGGACUGAGAUACGGCCCAGACUCCUACGGGAGGCAGCAGUGGGGAAUAUUGCACAAUGGGCGGAAGCCUGAUGCAGCAACGCCGCGUGCGGGAUGACGGCCUUCGGGUUGUAAACCUCUUUCGCCUGUGACGAAGCGUGAGUGACGGUAAUGGGUAAAGAAGCACCGGCUAACUACGUG
rnacentral:rRNA from 1 species